ACGUGUAGGCGGGAGGGUGCAUUCCGUUUUAAAGACUCCGGCUCAACCGGGGGACUGGGCGGAAGAUGGCCCUUCUUGGAAGACUUCCGGGGCAACUGGAACUUUUGGUGAAGCAGUGAAAUGCGUUGAUAUCAAAAGGAACACCAAUAGCGAAGGCGGGUUGCUAGGAGGAUCUUGACGCUGAGACUCGAAAGCUAGAGGAGAGAAGCAGAUUAGAUACCUGCGUAUUUCUAGCCGUAAACGCAUGGGUGCUAGAUUCUCGUCCCGCUAAGGGCAUCAUAAAUAGUGUCUUUGGCGGGAUGAGAGUCGCAAGCUAACGCGUUAAGCACCCCGCCUGGGGAGUACGAACGCAAGUUUAAA
rnacentral:rRNA from 1 species